rnacentral:lncRNA from 1 species
CUGGAACCAGCGCUUUUGGGCUCUGGCAGGAGCAUACUCCAUGUGGGCCCUGUGGCAGCAUCUAGGUGGGGGUGCCUGUGGCCCCCGAUCCCCUAGAGGGCAUGUUACAGUGCUCUUUUAGCUCUGUCAUCCACGGGCGGCUUAAAUGUUAACUGGUCAGUGGGCCCUCUGCCUUUUUGCAUGAAGCAGCUGCUCUUUGCCAGCGAGGGCAAAGGAUCAGCAUGACACCCUUUUGUAUCCACACUUGCGGCUCCUGAAUGGUAGUGCGGCAUCCAGGAAAAAUAAGGUCUCACUAACGAAUUGAAGGAUGGUAAAUGCAGGGGAUUAUUACUAUUUUUUAUUUUAUUUUUUAUUUUAUUUUUUUUGCUGAUGAAAGUGGCUCUCAGUGGGAAGAGGAGCUGAAAAGGGGGUGAGGUGGGGCAGUGACGAUGGAAGAAAAAGGCAAGACUUCACUUUGGGAGGCUGAGGCGGGCAGAUCACGAGGUCAGGAGAUCGAGACCAUCCUGGCUAACACAGUGAAACCCCAUCUCUACUAAAAAUACAAAAAAUUAGCUAGGCGUGGUGGCAGACACCUGGAGUCCCAGCGACUCAGGAGGCUGAAGCAGGAGAAUGGCGUGAACCCGGGAGGCGGAGCUUGCAGUGAGCCAGGCUCGCGCCACUACACUCCAGCCUGGGCGACAGAGCAAGACUCCAUUUCAAAAAAAAAAGGCACCACUUGAUGAGGAUUUCUAGAGUAAAAUAUAUUUUUAAACAUGGGGGCUAGAAACUGGAACAGCACUUUAUAAUAUUAAUAAAUGUUGAGCAUACAAGACGUAGAGAGGUUUGGUUAAGAGGCUGUGAGAACAUAUCUGUUCAUGCUAAAUAUGUAAUUCUGAAAGUAUUUUAUUACUUUGAACCUCAAUUUUUCAAGGUAAAGUAGCCAUACAUAUUCAUCUCAAAGGAUUAUUAAACUUAUGGAAAAAGUAAAUCAGAAAAUGCAUGUAAAGUAAUCAAGAAUAGUUUAAGUGGAAGCCAAUUAAGUGGAAGGUAUUGAAUAAAUGGCAGUUGUUACUAGUAUAAUUAUUUCUUGUUUAUAUUGUUUUAUUAGAGUGAAC